rnacentral:misc_RNA from 1 species
AACAAGGCGUACCUGCGGACCUGCGGAAGGAUCAUUACACAAUAAACAUAUGAAGGCUGCACCGCCAACAGGCGGCAAGGCUGGAGUAUUUUAUUACCCUUGUCUUUUGCGCACUUGUUGUUUCCUGGGCGGGUUCGCCCGCCUCCAGGACCACAUGAUAAACCUUUUUUAUGCAGUUGCAAUCAGCGUCAGUACAACAAAUGUAAAUCAUUUACAACUUUCAGCAACGGAUCUCAGAUC